rnacentral:rRNA from 1 species
UACGGAGGAUGCAGGCGUUAUCCGGAUUUAUUGGGUUUAAAGGGUGCGUAGGCGGGCUAAUAAGUCAGUGGUGAAAUCCUUCAGCUUAACUGAAGAACUGCCAUUGAUACUGUUAGCCUUGAGUAUAGUUGAGGUAGGCGGAAUGUGUCAUGUAGCGGUGAAAUGCUUAGAUAUGACACAGAACACCGAUUGCGAAGGCAGCUUACUAAACUAUUACUGACGCUCAUGCACGAAAGCGUGGGGAGCGAACAGG